rnacentral:sRNA from 1 species
UCAGGAAGCUCAGGGGAGUAGUCACCCCGUCCUUCGGCGACGGGGGCCUGCGUCAACAUCAUUGGCCCGCACGGGCCGUGGCGCAGGCAGCCGCAUCCGGCCCGACGAGACCUGUGGCAUGGAUCUCCGGCC